rnacentral:rRNA from 1 species
GUAAGGAAUAUUGGACAAUGGACGCAAGUCUGAACCAGCCAUGCCGCGUGGAGGAUGAAGGUCCUCUGGAUUGUAAACUUCUUUUAUAUGGGACGAAAAAAGGCUUUUCUAAGUCGUCUGACGGUACCAUAUGAAUAAGCACCGGCUAACUCCGUGCCAGCAGCCGCGGUAAUACGGAGGGUGCAAGCGUUAUCCGGAUUCACUGGGUUUAAAGGGUGCGUAGGUGGAUUGCCAAGUCCGUGGUGAAAUCUUCGAGCUUAACUCGGAAACUGCCAUGGAUACUGGUGAUCUUGAAUAUCGUGGAGGUUAGCGGAAUAUGUCAUGUAGCGGUGAAAUGCUUAGAUAUGACAUAGAACACCAAUUGCGAAGGCAGCUGGCUACGCGAAUAUUGACACUCAGGCACGAAAGCGUGGGGAUCAAACAGGAUUAGAUACCCGUGUAGUCC